AGAGUUUGAUCAUGGCUCAGAACGUACGCUGGCGGCACGCCUAACACAUGCAAGUCGAACGAAGUAGCAAUACUUAGUGGCAGACGGGUGAGUAACAUGUAGGUAUCUGCCCUUUGGCCUGGAAUAACACGAGGAAACUUGUGCUAAUACCGGAUAAGUCUUUACGGAGAAAGCUUUAUGCACCAUUGGAUGAGCCUGCACUUGAUUAGUUUGUUGGUGGGGUAAUGGCCUACCAAGACUUUGAUCAAUAGCUGAUUUGAGAGGAUGAUCAGCCACAUUGGGACUGAGACACGGCCCAAACUCCUACGGGAGGCAGCAGUGGGGAAUCUUGCACAAUGGAGGAAACUCUGAUGCAGCGAUGCCGCGUGAGUGAAGAAGGCCUUUGGGUUGUAAAGCUCUUUCGUCGGGGAAGAAAAUGACUGUACCCGAAUAAGAAGGUCCGGCUAACUUCGUGCCAGCAGCCGCGGUAAUACGAAGGGACCUAGCGUAGUUCGGAAUUACUGGGCUUAAAGAGUUCGUAGGUGGUUGAAAAAGUUGGUGGUGAAAUCCCAGAGCUUAACUCUGGAACUGCCAUCAAAACUUUUCAGCUAGAGUUUGAUAGAGGAAAGCAGAAUUUCUAGUGUAGAGGUGAAAUUCGUAGAUAUUAGAAAGAAUACCAAUUGCGAAGGCAGCUUUCUGGAUCAUUACUGACACUGAGGAACGAAAGCAUGGGUAGCGAAGAGGAUUAGAUACCCUCGUAGUCCAUGCCGUAAACGAUGUGUGUUAGACGUUGGAAAUUUAUUUUCAGUGUCGCAGCGAAAGCGAUAAACACACCGCCUGGGGAGUACGACCGCAAGGUUAAAACUCAAAUGAAUUGACGGGGACCCGCACAAGUAGUGGAGCAUGUGGUUUAAUUCGAAGAUACGCGCAGAACCUUACCAACACUUGACAUGUUCGUCGCGACUUUAAGAGAUUAAAGUUUUCGGUUCGGCCGGACGAAACACAGGUGCUGCAUGGCUGUCGUCAGCUCGUGUCGUGAGAUGUUGGGUUAAGUCCCGCAACGAGCGCAACCCUCACUUUUAGUUGCCAUCAUUUAGUUGGGCACUCUGAAAGAACUGCCAGUGAUAAGCUGGAGGAAGGUGGGGAUGACGUCAAGUCCUCAUGGCCCUUACGUGUUGGGCUACACACGUGCUACAAUGGUAUCUACAACAGGAAGCAAAACGGCGACGUUAAGCAAAUCCUUAAAAGAUACCUCAGUUCGGAUUGCACUCUGCAACUCGAGUGCAUGAAGCUGGAAUUACUAGUAAUCGUGGAUCAGCGUGCCACGGUGAAUGCGUUCCCGGGUCUUGUACACACCGCCCGUCACACCAUGGGAGUUGGUUCUACCUUAAGGCAAGGUUUCAAACCCUUGACCACGGUAUAGUCAGCGACUGGGGUGAAGUCAUAACAAGGUAGCCGUA
rnacentral:rRNA from 1 species